ensembl:miRNA cja-mir-103b-1 cja-mir-103b-1
GAACAGGUCUCAAUGCCUUCAUAGCCCUGUACAAUGCUGCUUGAUCCAUAUGCAACAAGGCAGCACUGUAAAGAAGCCGAGGGCAGUAAGAAAAUC